AAGGCAUGAGACCGGUGUUCGCUCGCCAUCUUGCAAGUUGGCAGCGAUCUGAGAUAUACGGUCUGAACUUGAUCAGGUUAACGCCUGCGAAAGGACUCAUGCUUUGCUUUCC
rnacentral:ncRNA from 1 species